CAAAAGCUGUCCUCCAGAUUUUUUACACUCUCCAUCAUUUUUUAGUGCUGCACUUCAUCAUCAUCAAUUUGUUUCCCUUUCAAUUUACUAGGGCUUGUCUGGUUCUCAAGUCCCUAGUGGAAAAAUGAGUACAUGAUUAUGCUAUUUGGAACACUUCAGUAGUGACAGGGAAACUAAUGGCAGGAAAGAGUUAAUUAAUACUGUUCUCUGAGGUUCCUUACUAUUCCUAAAUUGUUAUUUUAGAUUUAAUUAUUUUCCGCUAUGUGAUUACAUUCAUUUAGGAAAUAAUUUAAGAGAACUGAUGCUUAAAACCUAUAUUAGCAGACAUGUAUGAAAGGAAAAAUACCAAUUCAAUAAAGGCUAUGAUUAAUCACAGAAGAAAUAAUGAAGACAAUCAAGAAAAAAAAUCAGAAUCUAUCAUAUCAUGCAAUUUUUUCAAAAACCUAUCAUGUUCUCUGUGAAAAUUGUAUCCAGAAAUUUCUUCAGUUGUAGCCAGCAAAAUGGACAGACUUACGAUAUAAGCACUGGAAUGGAAUAGAGUGAGAACUGAGGAGACCAAUUUUACGUCUUUCUCUCAUCUCUUGUGUGACAAGACACAAAUGCUCUCUUGUCCUACAAGAUCUUCUAAAUGAUCUUAUAAGAGAUCAUUUUAAUCUCUCUCUCUCACUCUCUGCAUUCAUCACUGUAACAUUUGGUAUUUUAUGCCAUUCAGUUUCAAAUGUGUCCCCACAAGGUAGGGAAAAGGCUAAAAAAAUAGCAUUUUAUUGGAGGAGCACAAGGCUGUUUUAAUACUUUCUUUUGCUGGCGUUCAGCAUACACUAAUUUCUGUUGAAAAAUGUUUAUCAAGGGGGCUGCUCUUUGGAGAAACAAGGUUUUGGGGAGACAAUGAAAAAUUUUUAAAAAUCUUAUUUCACCCAUAAAAUUAGGUGUAGAUCAAGUGUUAUGCCAACAAUGGAUCUGUUCCCUGUUCUUCUUUCCUUGCAGUCAAGUCUUUAAUUCUGUAUUUUCUAUGUUUGAAGGCAGAGACAACACUGGGCGAGAAGACCUUUUACAUUUGGUGUAAAUUUAAAGGGAGUCAAGAAAAUCAGUCACUUUCGAGCUACAUGUAAUUUUACACUAAAAUGAUUUUGUUCACCUUGUGUUGCAGCACGAUUAACUUUCAAAUUCUUCAACAUGUUAAAUGUUUAUUCAGAAGAGUCGACAUUCAAGUGUUUGGAAAAAAUAAAAGAAGGAAGAAAUAAAAGAAAAGAAAAGAGAGAGAAUGAAAGACGUGGUUUUCCGUGCACUCUUCUCGGUAGCAUUUGGGUGGUGAAGCAAUCAAUGGUCGCAGUUUUUGACAGCAAUGCAUUAUAUGGAGAGAGAUACUCAGCUCUAAUUCUUUACCCUUUCUCCAAGUUUUGUAACUAAAUAACCUUUUUAAAUAAAAUAUUGCAACAGUCCUGCAUUUUGAGGAUGAAAGUGCUGUUUUCUAAAAGGUCAAUUCAAUCUGGGAAAUGUUUUCGGUUUAGACAAUCCAUUAUAAACUGUAGAAACCCGUGGCAAUUUUCAGCGCCACUAACAACGGGAAGUAAAUUUCAGUCAUUCACAGUGAGACGGCAAUGUGGUGACAUUUGAAGCCUGGACG
ensembl:lncRNA